CCUUGACUAAUCCCUCAUGCAUAAAUACAAACUUCAGAUCUUAAAUCUAAAUAUUUAGAUCUAAAUUUUUUACAUAAAAAGUAAAUUUUAGAUCUCAAAAUAAUUUUCAGAUUAUGCAUACAAUCAUAUAUCACAUAUAUGAAUAAAAUUCAAAUUAUAGAAACUAAUUUUAGAUCUAAACAUGCAAUCACAUAUCAUAUAUAUAAACAAAAUUCAGAUCAUAGAAUGUUGCCCAG
rnacentral:lncRNA from 1 species